UGACAGGACAAAACAAGAAUCGAAACGAAGAUUUCUCGACGAAUCGAGAGAAGUGACGAAGAGGCAGAAACGAGGCUUUGAAUGUAAGUCUUCGAGGGCAUGUGAUCAUUUUCGGUAUCGAAUAGUGAAGGGAUUUUCUCCUUUGAUGGUGGAAAUGGAUUUUCAAGAUCAAACUCCAUUGAUGUAUAAAACUCUCUUCUCUUCUUUAUUUAUUUAUUUCUUUACUUAUUUUUGCUAAUACACUCACUCUUUAUAUAAGGUACAUCAUGGUUUGUUUUUG
rnacentral:lncRNA from 1 species